rnacentral:rRNA from 1 species
UACGUAGGUGGCAAGCGUUGUCCGGAUUUAUUGGGCGUAAAGCAUGCGUAGGCGGAUAUUUAAGUGGGAUGUGAAAUCCCGGGGCUUAACCCCGGUGCUGCAUUUCAAACUGGAUAUCUAGAGUGCAGGAGAGGAAAGCGGAAUUCCUAGUGUAGCGGUGAAAUGCGUAGAUAUUAGGAAGAACACCAGUGGCGAAGGCGGCUUUCUGGACUGUAACUGACGCUGAGGCAUGAAAGCGUGGGUAGCAAACAGG